ACACAGCCCGUCCGCCCCAUCGAGCUCCGCGCGCGGCCCGCCGGGAGACCCUAGUCCGCGUCCAGGCUCGCUCUGCACCCCGGGCCGCCGCCGCCACCACCUCCCUGCGGACGCCGAGGUGACUCACCAGUGUGAGGGCCGCCCGCGUGGGCUGCAGUUUUCUCUUGCUCACAGCCCGCACGGUGGCGCGGACCAACGACGCCGACAUGUCCACGUCGCGGCACCCGCAGCCUCCGGCUGGAGCGUGGGGACUCAACUUCUCUCCAUGGACACGGCGGGCACUUUGACGCCACAAGCUCCUGCGCAGGCGCCACAGGCCCCGCCUCCCGUCGCCCGUCCCGCUCCACCAUUGGACAGUCCGGGAAGCUUGCCAAAGCAGUUCACAGUGAGCAAGAGACUGUUAGAAGGUGAAGAUCGGGUGUUCAGAACUCCUGCUGUAAAAACUGGAUUCUGAGUUUCCGCUGUUUUAGAACAGAACAGGGCAUCGGCCCUGGCCCUGCGAUCGCUUGCAGAGGAAGCUUUGACUUGGCCAUGGCUGCGAGCCUGCUAUCUUAUCCGCUGAGAAGCGUGCCUCACUUGUCUAAUGGUAUCAGUAUAAGCCAUCAAAAACACCAGGCUGCUGGGCAGAAUUUUUUUUAAGAAUCAAAAUGUAGGAAACCUUUUUAAGGCUAGAAGAAAACAUGACAAUUCUGUUUAAUUUUAGGGGUAAGUACACUCCUCUCCCUCAACAACCGACAAAACAUCCAAGUAGAAAAUAACUACCAGGUAUAAAGAUUGGCCUGGCUGCGUAUUUCUUCUCCGUUCUAGGGGCAGAGGGAUAAACAACACUAAGCGCUUUUUCAGU
rnacentral:lncRNA from 1 species